CCGUACCGCAAACCGACACAGGUAGUCAAGAUGAGAAUUCUAAGGUGAGCGAGCGAACUCUCGUUAAGGAACUCGGCAAAAUGACCCCGUAACUUCGGGAGAAGGGGUGCUCUUUAGGGUUAACGCCCAGAAGAGCCGCAGUGAAUAGGCCCAAGCGACUGUUUAUCAAAAACACAGGUCUCUGCUAAACCGUAAGGUGAUGUAUAGGGGCUGACGCCUGCCCGGUGCUGGAAGGUUAAGAGGAGUGGUUAGCUUCUGCGAAGCUACGAAUCGAAGCCCCAGUAAACGGCGGCCGUAACUAUAACGGUCCUAAGGUAGCGAAAUUCCUUGUCGGGUAAGUUCCGACCCGCACGAAAGGCGUAACGAUUUGGGCACUGUCUCAACGAGAGACUCGGUGAAAUCAUAGUACCUGUGAAGAUGCAGGUUACCCGCGACAGGACGGAAAGACCCCGUGGAGCUUUACUGUAGCCUGAUAUUGAAAUUCGGCACAGCUUGUACAGGAUAGGUAGGAGCCUUUGAAACGUGAGCGCUAGCUUACGUGGAGGCGCUGGUGGGAUACUACCCUAGCUGUGUUGGCUUUCUAACCCGCACCACUUAUCGUGGUGGGAGACAGUGUCAGGCGGGCAGUUUGACUGGGGCGGUCGCCUCCUAAAAGGUAACGGAGGCGCUCAAAGGUUCCCUCAGAAUGGUUGGAAAUCAUUCAUAGAGUGUAAAGGCAUAAGGGAGCUUGACUGCGAGACCUACAAGUCGAGCAGGGUCGAAAGACGGACUUAGUGAUCCGGUGGUUCCGCAUGGAAGGGCCAUCGCUCAACGGAUAAAAGCUACCCCGGGGAUAACAGGCUUAUCUCCCCCAAGAGUUCACAUCGACGGGGAGGUUUGGCACCUCGAUGUCGGCUCAUCGCAUCCUGGGGCUGUAGUCGGUCCCAAGGGUUGGGCUGUUCGCCCAUUAAAGCGGUACGCGAGCUGGGUUCAGAACGUCGUGAGACAGUUCGGUCCCUAUCCGUCGUGGGCGUAGGAAAUUUGAGAGGAGCUGUCCUUAGUACGAGAGGACCGGGAUGGACAUACCUCUGGUGUACCAGUUGUCGUGCCAACGGCAUAGCUGGGUAGCUAUGUGUGGACGGGAUAAGUGCUGAAAGCAUCUAAGCAUGAAGCCCCCCUCAAGAUGAGAUUUCCCAACUUCGGUUAUAAGAUCCCUCAAAGAUGAUGAGGUUAAUAGGUUCGAGGUGGAAGCAUGG
rnacentral:rRNA from 1 species